GAAAGUCGGGAGUGCCCCGUAAGGGGAACUUGGACACAGGUGCUGCAUGGCUGUCGUCAGCUCGUGCCGUGAGGUGUGGGUUAAGUCCCGCAACCGAGCGCAACCCUUAUCCCUAGUUGCCAUCAGGUAAAGCUGGGAACUCUGGGGAGACUGCCGGUGAUAAACCGGAGGAAGGCGGGGAUGACGUCAAGUCCUCAUGGCCCUUACAUCCCGGGCUACACACGUGCUACAAUGGCAGGUACAGAGGGCUGCGAAGCCGCGAGGUGGAGCGAAUCCCAGAAAACCUGUCUCAGUCCGGAUUGAAGUCUGCAACUCGACUUCAUGAAGGCGGAAUCGCUAGUAACCGCGAAUCAGCAGGUCGCGGUGAAUACGUUCCCGGGCCUU
rnacentral:rRNA from 1 species